UACGUAGGUGGCAAGCGUUGUCCGGAUUUACUGGGCGUAAAGAGCGCGCAGGCGGUCGUUCAAGUCGCGUGUGAAAGCCCCCGGCUCAACUGGGGAGGGUCACGCGAUACUGAUCGACUCGAAGGCAGGAGAGGGAAGUGGAAUUCCCGGUGUAGUGGUGAAAUGCGUAGAUAUCGGGAGGAACACCAGUGGCGAAGGCGAGUCUCUGGACAAUUCCUGACGCUGAGGCACGAAAGCUAGGGGAGCAAACAGG
rnacentral:rRNA from 1 species